rnacentral:rRNA from 1 species
AGAGUUUGAUCCUGGCUCAGGAUGAACGCUGGCGGCGUGCCUAAUACAUGCAAGUCGAGCGAACGGACGAGAAGCUUGCUUCUCUGAUGUUAGCGGCGGACGGGUGAGUAACACGUGGAUAACCUACCUAUAAGACUGGGAUAACUUCGGGAAACCGGAGCUAAUACCGGAUAAUAUUUUGAACCGCAUGGUUCAAAAGUGAAAGACGGUCUUGCUGUCACUUAUAGAUGGAUCCGCGCUGCAUUAGCUAGUUGGUAAGGUAACGGCUUACCAAGGCAACGAUGCAUAGCCGACCUGAGAGGGUGAUCGGCCACACUGGAACUGAGACACGGUCCAGACUCCUACGGGAGGCAGCAGUAGGGAAUCUUCCGCAAUGGGCGAAAGCCUGACGGAGCAACGCCGCGUGAGUGAUGAAGGUCUUCGGAUCGUAAAACUCUGUUAUUAGGGAAGAACAUAUGUGUAAGUAACUGUGCACAUCUUGACGGUACCUAAUCAGAAAGCCACGGCUAACUACGUGCCAGCAGCCGCGGUAAUACGUAGGUGGCAAGCGUUAUCCGGAAUUAUUGGGCGUAAAGCGCGCGUAGGCGGUUUUUUAAGUCUGAUGUGAAAGCCCACGGCUCAACCGUGGAGGGUCAUUGGAAACUGGAAAACUUGAGUGCAGAAGAGGAAAGUGGAAUUCCAUGUGUAGCGGUGAAAUGCGCAGAGAUAUGGAGGAACACCAGUGGCGAAGGCGACUUUCUGGUCUGUAACUGACGCUGAUGUGCGAAAGCGUGGGGAUCAAACAGGAUUAGAUACCCUGGUAGUCCACGCCGUAAACGAUGAGUGCUAAGUGUUAGGGGGUUUCCGCCCCUUAGUGCUGCAGCUAACGCAUUAAGCACUCCGCCUGGGGAGUACGACCGCAAGGUUGAAACUCAAAGGAAUUGACGGGGACCCGCACAAGCGGUGGAGCAUGUGGUUUAAUUCGAAGCAACGCGAAGAACCUUACCAAAUCUUGACAUCCUUUGACAACUCUAGAGAUAGAGCCUUCCCCUUCGGGGGACAAAGUGACAGGUGGUGCAUGGUUGUCGUCAGCUCGUGUCGUGAGAUGUUGGGUUAAGUUCCGCAACGAGCGCAACCCUUAAGCUUAGUUGCCAUCAUUAAGUUGGGCACUCUAAGUUGACUGCCGGUGACAAACCGGAGGAAGGUGGGGAUGACGUCAAAUCAUCAUGCCCCUUAUGAUUUGGGCUACACACGUGCUACAAUGGACAAUACAAAGGGCAGCGAAACCGCGAGGUCAAGCAAAUCCCAUAAAGUUGUUCUCAGUUCGGAUUGUAGUCUGCAACUCGACUACAUGAAGCUGGAAUCGCUAGUAAUCGUAGAUCAGCAUGCUACGGUGAAUACGUUCCCGGGUCUUGUACACACCGCCCGUCACACCACGAGAGUUUGUAACACCCGAAGCCGGUGGAGUAACCUUUUAGGAGCUAGCCGUCGAAGGUGGGACAAAUGAUUGGGGUGAAGUCGUAACAAGGUAGCCGUAUCGGAAGGUGCGGCUGGAUCACCU